UAGAAAUUGUGACCCAAACCCAAACUUUCGCCAAAGUGCAGAGCACCAGGACGACGGUUUUGAAGCCUAGGAGAAGAAUGUUGAACUUCGUGGCUACGGUUUUGAAGCCUAGCAUCAUCGUUACUUACUCCUGCAUCGUUGGAUAUUCAUCUUAAAAGGCACAUAUGUCGAGAUUUACACUGUAAUUCCUCAAUCGUGAUGAAAUUUCUGUUCAGCUUGUAUUGGAAGUGCCGUUAAAUGGACUCAUAGCUACACUUCAACUCUUUCGUUAUUCGGGAGAAGCACAGGGUUCUCUCUUUAUUACCUCAGAACGAUACAGAUUCUGCGUUCUUCAGUGGAAUACGGAGACUUCUCAAAUUGAUACAAAGUAUGUUUGGUUAACACAUUCUUUAAUUUAGAAUAACUUAUAUUUUGUAUUUAUUUAAUACAGAUUGAAAAUUUAAUUUCUUUUCAAAAGUUAUGUUUGCAGUCAACUUUAGUUACUAACAAAUCAUAUUGUGAAUUUAGUGAUGCAGUAGCUCACUAACUCACUUACUAACAUAAGGUUAUGUAGUUAUGAAAGCAAAGCUUUUAGGUGUCAGUGUCACCCUUGGCCAAAGGCUUUUAGUCUGCUACCGUUGUUUAUGAUGCUGGAUGUUUCAAGACUUGGAGGAAUUUGCAUCGACACUUGUUCCUCUAACUCACCAUUUUGGAAGACAUUUUUUGAUGUCUAAUUGGUGCACUGGCCAGUCUAAAUUUCCAGCCAAAGAGAGUAUAACAUAGAUUGUGUUGUGUUUUGUCACCAAAAUACAUGUUUCCUCGUAGUCCACUCCAUAUGAUUGAGUGAAUCCCUUGACCAUCAACCUGGCUUUGCAUCCACAUUCCACAUGCUUUGUUCUAUCUUGAUGAACCGGAUUCUUUGCCAUGCUGAUGGUAACUUUGUUACCACAUAGAAUUUCUAUUGAGUGUUCAAUGGGAUCCUUAAGUUCUUCCAACAUCCUUUUUAUCCAAAUUCUCUCACCAAUGCCAUGUGCCAUGACCCAUAGUUCAACUUCUGCGCUGCUUCUGGCAACUACUAAUUGUUUCUUAUUCCUCCAAGCAACCAUGUUCCACCAUACGGAAUGGCAUGAUGCAUUGUAUUCUCAAUCAUGUUGCAAUGAUAGUCUUGUAAGAAUGAAAGAGGCUUAGUAGCUCUCAUGGAUCUUCUAAGUUGAAGGUCGAAAUUCGGUAAGUUAUAUGAUGCAAGCAUGUUAGAUAGAUGGUCUAUGUGAUGGGAUGAAGCAUAUGAAUGAUUUGACUAGUUACUUGGUGAAAUGGACGUGGAAUGAUUAUAUUGAGACGGAGAAAUAGCAGGUAUGACUAUAUCUGAUGUAUCUGAAAAAUCAGAAUGAUGGUCAACCAUAUUUCAUGUGUUAGGAAUAUUAUGAUGCGUGUCCUGUAUGUAAGGAAAAUCAUAUAAGUCAUCUAGGACAGUUGGAUUAUAAGGUUGAAAUUUAUUGAGGAAUGAUGUAUUGGGGGAUGGCAUGUAAGGAAAAAUUGACUAAAAAAACAUCUCUAAAAAGAAAGACUUCUUUGGAAUGUAAAUCAAUUACUACUUGUCCCUUAAUACCAAUUUGAAAUCCGAUAUACACAUUUACUUGAUCUAGAAUCCAGUUUCUUUCUAUUUGGUUGUAAGGUUGAAGUAAAACAUAAGGAACCAAAAACUUUAAGUAGGUUAAUAUCUACAGAACUUGAAAAUGUGACCUGUUGUGCAAUAAAGGGGUUGGCCGUCUGUUGAUGAUGUAAAUAGCAUAGCAUGUCUGUCUGCAUAAGACUAGAAAAUUUUAGGUAAAUUAGCAAGAAAUAGAAGAGCUCUAAUAAUGCCAAGAAUGUGUUGGUGCUUCUUUUCAACUAUGCCAUUUUGUUGAGGAGUACCAACAUAAGAUGUUUGAUGAGAAAUACUAGUUUCUCUAUAGAAGUCUCUAAGAAGAAAUUCAUUGCCUUAAUCUGAUCUUAUGCAUUUGAUUUUGCUCUUAAAUUGAGUGUGGACCAUGGAACAAAAGCUUUAAUGAGGGAUGGUGUUUCAGAUUUACAUUCAUGAGAAAAUCCAUGUAAAUCUACUUUUUCAUCAACUACUGUGAGAAAAUAUUUGUGGCCAUUCAUUGAAGGAAUAUACAAUGGACUCCAUAUGUCCAUAUGAACUAAUUCAGA